UGUUGCACUUAGUACUCAGCAGACUGUGUA
rnacentral:piRNA from 2 species